CUCAGCCAACAGGACAAGAUGAAGCAGAACAGGAAAUAUGCAAAAGUGUCACAGGAUAAAGGAAGGACAGAAUGGGGGAGAGAGAGGAAAGGAAAGAAGCAAAUAGGUAAAAGAAAGAGCACUCAUUGCUAAAGAAAACACAACCCCAAAACACAAAGCUUCCCAUUAUACCAGGAUUUUAGAAAAUGAUUAUCAGUGAACAGGGGCUCAGAGAUGAAAUGAUAAAAUAAUACCAUAGACAUUAAAGAUGUUGCAGAGCCAUCAAAACAUACCGAAGACAAACAUUUAUCAAUUUAGUGCUAAUAAAUAAAAUAAAAAGAGCAAGGAAAUGAGGACAUGUGGCUAGAUAUGAGAAGAUACGACUAAAAAUUGAACUGGGGGGACAACACCCAUGGCACAUGGAAAUUCCUGGGCCAGGGAUAGAAUCUGAGCCACAGCUGUGACCUACAACACAGCCGCAGCAACUCCAGAUCCUUGACCCACAUUGGCAGGGCGGGGAUGGGAUCUGUGCUGCCACAGAGACAACGCCAGGUUCUUAACCCACUGCACCACAGCAGGAACUUUCUGAACUAUUGACAUUUUUUUUAAAAAGACAAUUUAAUUCCAGUGAAUACAGCAGCGAAAGACAAAUGUAUUUUUUCAAUGAAGGAAAGAGAACAAGGAUGAAGAACUGAAAACUGCUGAUUCUGUAGAAAGAACCCCAAAACGGUCUAGAAACAUACUUCAGGUAAGGAUAGUAUGAGUUUUCCAUAACAUGAGGGAAGAACAGAUGGAAAUAAUAGUUAAAAACUGAUACAGAAUGAUCCGAAAGAAUUAUAUCCUUGAGUCACCGAAUUUGAAGUUUAAAAUAUUCUGCUGGUGUUCAGGCAGAAAAGAGCAAUUCAUUCAGAUGGCAGGGGGCUUGGGGAGGGUGUCAGACUAGCCUCACUGUUCUAUCAGGAACACUCAAUGCCAAAAGAUAAAAGGCAUUGCCUACAGAUUUCUAAGUAGGACCCCAAGUUUUUAAAGCAAAAUAUCCUUUGACUAUAAAAGAAAUAUAUUUAAGCAUGCGGGAAGUCAGGGAAUACAGCAUCCAUGAGCCUUUCAUGAAAUAAACUAUUCGGUAACAUAAUCCGGUCAACUAAAUCAUUACCAUAGAAACUAUGGCAAAAGGACUACUUUCGCACUCAGUUUGACAAAGUGCUGAGGCAAAGUAUGACCUAAUAAUUUUUAUUAAAUCAGUCUUCCCUUAGAGUAUAAAUGCAGCUGUUUAACGCACCCAAACAUAUUAGGGAAUACAGGAUGUUACAAUAUUUUCUUACCAUUACCUGACAAUGAACUCUAAUUGCCCAAGAGAUAAAAUAAGAAAUAACUCGGAAUGAAAAAGCCAUGGCAAAGAACCAGGAUGAUCAAACUGAUUUAACUGAUGAACAUCAAACUGAUUUAAAUCUUUUGCUGCAUAACUAGUUGACGAACUUCUAAGAAAUCAGUACAGGUGCCCCAGUUUUCCAGAGCCUCAGGCAGAGAGCGUUACAAAGUCAAUAAAACUGGCUAACUGCUCUACUGAUUCAGUAAAAGGAAAUCUUGACACUUAAGAAUUGAAUUUUCAAUUGUAACAUGAUCACUGUAUGUUCACUGAAAAAAAUUAAUUCUUCCAUUAACAAGUGUUUGCAUCAAAAAAUCUAAAAUUCCAAUCAACUACAUGUUUAGUAUGUAAUACAAAAGUAACCUUACAACUCUAGAAAUCCAUUUAUCCUAAUAAAUUCAGAGUCUGAAAAGACAGAAGUUUAUCCUGUUUAUUCCCUCUCGAUUUUCUGUUAAUAUUUUAGACCUGCCAACAUUACCUGUCUAAAAUUACCUUUCAUCAUUUCAACUACUUUUUUCCCCUCUAAACACAAGAAUUUAAUAAUUAAUGCAUCUUACUUACAUAAUGCUUACUUAUAUAAUAAAACGAGUAAAAUCAGAUGAGUGAAUUCAGGGUUAAUACAUUUUCUUAAAUACAACCUGAAUAUUUUUUUAAAAAAAUAAUUUAUUGUAUGCCUUACAUCAUUUUUAUCUAUUUAUUUAUUUAGUCCUUUUAGGCCAGCACCCACGGAUAUGGAAGUUCCCAGGCAAAGGGUCGAAGUGGAGCAGUAGUUGCUGGCCUACACCACAGCCACAGCAACAUAGGAUCUGAGCCACAUCUGCGACCUACACCACAGCUCAUGGCAACGUUGGAUCCUUAACCCCCUGAGCGAGGCCAGGGAUCGAACCUGUGUCCUCAGUGAUGCUAGUCAGAUUUGCUUCUGCUGAGCCAUGACAAGAACUCCUAAAUAUUUCUUUUAAAAAAGAAACAGGUUUUCAAAAAGCAUCUUAAAGAAUUUCAAUUAAUCACAUCAAGGGGAAAAACAUCAAGAAUAAAAAAGAAAAGCAAUAAAUUGUUAACUGUGACCUCAUAGUUAAUAAGAUAAAUGGAAGACAGACCUCUUUACAAGGUACACUAAUGGAAUUUAUUCAAAUACCUUGAACUGUAUUCUAACAUUAUAAUGCAACAGGUAUUUUAUAAAAUGGCCCCAACAGACCUUUCUGUUCUAUCCUAAAUUAUUCAUUGCUUUCUAAAGUUAUACUCUUCUUUUCUCCCACUGUGUGACUGUUUGUAUUACUCCCUCUGCUUAAAUCAUUGUCUUUCACAAUUAUUCAAUCAUUAGCCAUCUUCUCUCUCUCUCUUUUUUUUUCUUUUUAAUGGCAUCCAUGGCAGGGACUGAAUCCGAUCUGCAGCUGUAGCAAUGCCAGAUUCUUUAAUUCACUGGCUAGGCCAGGAAUCAAACCUGCAUCUCCAUAGUGGCCUGAGCCACUGCAGGAGGACUCUUGACCCUCCAUGCCAUUAUUCUUCAAUGACCAUCUCACUUGAACAAGACUUUCCUGUUCUCUGGCCCUUCCCAGUGGGUUAAGGAUCCAGCAUUGCCAUGAGCUAUGGUAUAGGUUGCAGACACAGCUUGGAUCCCACGUGGCUGUGGCUAUGGCUAUGGCUGUGGCGUAGGCCUGUACCUGCAGCUCUGAUUCAACCCCUAGCCUGGGAAGUUCCAUAUGCUAUAUGCGUGGUCAUGAAAAGAAAAAAAAAAUCCCAUCAACAGUUUAUAUCUUCUUAACUGAAUUCCAUAACGUUACACCAUAGCCUUUUGUACUUAUUAUAUAUCAAUUCCCUCCAUACGUGAUCCUCCCACUUUUCUCUUUGCUUUCCACAAACACUGUUUGGCUGAUCUCAUUUACUCUGACAGCUUCAAGUGCCAACAAUUCUCCAAGUUCCUUACCCAGAACUCUCUCCUGAGCAACAGGCCCAGAUAUACCCACUCGAAAAUCACAGGAAAUUCCAAUCUCACAAGGUUAAAACAUCUCACCGUGUUUUGCAAACCUGAUCCUCCCAGUAGCACCACUUGCCUAGCAGCCCAAGCCCUAUCUUGAUAUCGUUUCGGACUGCCUUCUUUUCUGCAACACCACAUACACUAAAUAAAUAAAUCUUCACUUCUUUACCUCCUAAGUAUCCUUCAAAUCCAUCCAUUUUUCUCCAUCUCCAUAACCAGCCCUAGACCUAGUUCAAAACAGCAGCAACAUCAGCCCUUUAUCUUGGUGGUCCACCCUUGCUUCCCAGUUCAAUCUUUUUUACAUAUACUAAAGAAUUCUUUAAAAUGGAAACACACAGUCACGAAAGCUUCUUUCCUAAACCUCUUCACAAACUCAUCACUGUUUUCACAACAAAUAUCAAACUUUUGGAGUGCCCAUUGUGGCUCAGCAGAAACAAACCCAACUGGAAUCCAUGAGGAUGCAGGUUCAAUCCCUGGCCUCACUCAGCGGGUUAAAGAUCUGGCAUUGCCGUGAGCUGUGGUAUAGUUUGCAGAUGCAGCUUGGAUCUGGCAUUGCUGUGGCUGCAGCAUAGGCCGGCAGCUGCAGCUUGGAUUCAACCCUUAGCCUAGGAACUACCAUACGCUGCAGGUGCAGCCCUCAAAAGACAAAAAAAAAUUUUUUUAAUCAUAAGGCAUUAUAAUUUGACUCCUCCUUCCCUCAAAGAGUUAUUAUUUCUCUUUAAAUCCUAUUAAUUCUUUUUUAACAGUUCUUCGGCUCAACCAUAAUCUUCUUGCCUAUGUUUUUUUCCACAGUUCUAACCUUUGUUUGGUAUAGCUGUAAUUCAUAUUUAGGUCUCAUUUAGCCAUUUCCAUUUUCACUCAAAAAUCUCCACAAUACUUAUUGGACCAGAUCUAGGUGGGUGUCCCCGCCAUGCAAUGUCCCAGGACCAAAGCUUCUUCCACACAGUGUUUCUGUGCUGGUCUGCAUUUACUACAGAGCUCUGGGGAGGCAGGCAGGCAGGCAUAUACUAUAUUCACCAAACUCACCUGGCAUUGUGCCAGGUACACACUGAGUCAUCAAAAAAAAAAAAGUUGGAGUUCCCAUCAUGGUUCAGUGGUUAACGAAUCCGACUAGGACCCAUGAGGUUGCGGGUUCGAUCCCUGCCCUUGCUCAGUGGGUUAAGGAUCCAGCGAUGCCAUGAGCUGUGGUGUAGCCAGCGGCUACAGCUCCAACUGGACCUCUAACCUGGGAACCUCCAUAUGCUGCGGGAACGGCUCAAGAAAAGGCAAAAAGACCAAAAAAAAAAAAAAAA
rnacentral:lncRNA from 1 species